AUUGAACGCUGGCGGCAUGCCUUACACAUGCAAGUCGAACGGUAACGGGCCUUCGGGUGCCGACGAGUGGCGAACGGGUGAGUAAUGUAUCGGAACGUACCUUUCAGUGGGGGAUAACGUAGCGAAAGUUACGCUAAUACCGCAUAUUCUGUGAGCAGGAAAGCAGGGGAUCGCAAGACCUUGCGCUGAUUGAGCGGCCGAUAUCAGAUUAGCUAGUUGGUGAGGUAAAGGCUCACCAAGGCGACGAUCUGUAGCGGGUCUGAGAGGAUGAUCCGCCACACUGGAACUGAGACACGGUCCAGACUCCUACGGGAGGCAGCAGUGGGGGAAUUUUGGACAAUGGGGGCAACCCUGAUCCAGCCAUGCCGCGUGAGUGAAGAAGGCCUCGGUUGUAA
rnacentral:rRNA from 1 species